AGUAACGCGUGAGGAACCUGCCUCAAAGAGGGGGACAACAGUUGGAAACGGCUGCUAAUACCGCAUAAGCCCACGGCUCGGCAUCGAGCAGAGGGAAAAGGAGCAAUCCGCUUUGAGAUGGCCUCGCAUCCGAUUAGCUAGUUGGUGAGGUAAUGGCCCACCAAGGCAACGAUCGGUAGCCGGACUGAGAGGUUGAACGGCCACAUUGGGACUGAGACACGGCCCAG
rnacentral:rRNA from 1 species